rnacentral:rRNA from 1 species
AUUGAACGCUGGCGGCAGGCUUAACACAUGCAAGUCGAGCGGGGGAGGUUGCUUCGGUAACUGACCUAGCGGCGGACGGGUGAGUAAUGCUUAGGAAUCUGCCUAUUAGUGGGGGACAACAUUCCGAAAGGGAUGCUAAUACCGCAUACGCCCUACGGGGGAAAGCAGGGGAUCUUCGGACCUUGCGCUAAUAGAUGAGCCUAAGUCGGAUUAGCUAGUUGGUGGGGUAAAGGCCUACCAAGGCGACGAUCUGUAGCGGGUCUGAGAGGAUGAUCCGCCACACUGGGACUGAGACACGGCCCAGACUCCUACGGGAGGCAGCAGUGGGGAAUAUUGGACAGUGGGCGGAAGCCUGAUCCAGCCAUGCCGCGUGUGUGAAGAAGGCCUUUUGGUUGUAAAGCACUUUAAGCGAGGAGGAGGCUACUAGUACUAAUACUACUGGAUAGUGGACGUUACUCGCAGAAUAAGCACCGGCUAACUCUGUGCCAGCAGCCGCCGUAACAC